rnacentral:rRNA from 1 species
UACAGAGGUGGCAAGCGUUGUUCGGAAUUACUGGGCGUAAAGGGCGCGUAGGCGGCCUUCUAAGUCAGACGUGAAAUCCCCCGGCUUAACCUGGGAACUGCGUCUGAUACUGGAGGGCUUGAGUGCGGGAGAGGGAUGUGGAAUUCCAGGUGUAGCGGUGAAAUGCGUAGAUAUCUGGAGGAACACCGGUGGCGAAGGCGGCAUCCUGGACCGACACUGACGCUGAGACGCGAAAGCGUGGGGAGCAAACAGG